GCAUGGGUCGAUUUCUGUAAAAUGUGUCACCUCACUGAUUGCCAGGAUCAGUUCCACUGAUCUGGCUUGCUAAGUGGCUGUCCCGUUUCUCCCCUCACCACUACUCCAGAUGCACCUUCCCCAGUAUGUGGCCUGAUGCAGAAGGGUAACUUGGCGCAGACGGGAGGCCUUUUGUUGGGUCAAGGAUCUAUGAGUAGGUACAUUCUCGUGCUAGGACCUCCAAACAAGCUCUCAAAGUCCACUUUUAGGAGAACAUAGGGUGGUCACGCUUCCAGGACUCCAAACCCAUCAAAAUGAGGCCCUAUGUGAGGAAGUCUCUCUUU
rnacentral:snRNA from 1 species